AAAUGACAUAAAAUUCGAUAUUAUUUUCAUAAAUUAAUUUUAUUAGACAAUUUAAAAUAUGUUACUUAUCAAUCCAGUAUAAAACAACUUUAAUUUGCUAAUAAAUGGUCAGACAUACAGAAGAGAGAACAUGCGUGGCGCCAAUUACCCGGAUAAAUUAGAUAAAAUACAAGCACUUAAAAAAAAAGUUUAAAACAUAGUCUUCUUUGCGGUAACAUAUUUGUUUUUUUACAUUAUUGUUUCAUUUAGGCCGACAAAAAAGGAAAAUAUUGUUGUUUCUAAAGUAAAAUUUUCGUAAACGUCUUUUCGCUAAUAUGUAUCAACAUAACCAUACCUUUAAAAAAAGCUGUGAAAUUAACAAUAAGCAUACAAUGGCUUGUAUCUGGUUUGAUAGAACGCCUUUCCGAGCUAUCACAAUUACCCAAGAAAUGGAGUUAAAUUAACAGAUACGGAACAUUCCAGUUCAACCGAAUUUAAUAGUCGCUUAGCGCAUUGGCUGUCCACUGCUAAUAACUGUCUCACUGGCUGAUAACAUCGGCAAAAGGGAAGGCAAUGAUUUGCUUUUACUGUUGCGAAAAAACUCCUGGUACUUUAAAAUGUACUCCACGUGGUAAUGUAAAACGAAUUAUUGAGCUAGGUGAGUAUGUUGACUAUGGUUUAAAAGACGCGUUAACUAAUUUCCUUACUAAUUUUCAGAGGUCGCAAAUAACAGUCAACACUUAUUUUCAAUGCGGUCAGCACUCAAAUAAACAGAAAAAAAAGAAGCAGAUUCGCUGUCCAUCGAACACUUUAUUUCGUUGCGCUUGUGUACUCUGUUCGUGCUUUUGCUUGAGGAUUGCCGCUGUUAUGUCCAACAGUAAUAUCUUAACAGGACACAUUCGUUCGGUCGCACAGAAAAUGUGUGUCUGUCGAAGAACAAAACGAAAAAAGUGGAAGCGAAAAGUGUCUUUUCUUGUUGUUGUCGUGUGACGAUAUCAAUGAAAGCUAGAGUGAAAGAGAGAGAGAGAGAAAAAAAUGACACGACAUAAUACAGUUAUGCAUACCUAUCUAAUAUUCCAUCAAAAACUCAAGGAAAUAUUAUUUAAAAAAUUCAAUGCAAUAACUUCGAAAUAUUGAACCUAUUAAGACAACGCAUAGACAAAACAAAUGAGAUGAUGACGAAAAUUGAUCGUCAAGGAGGAGAAAUUAUUUAAUUAAGAAACGAAAUUUAUCUUAUAAAGGGACGAGUUUGCCGAGAGGCACACAAGGCGAAAUUGACGCUGCCAAGUGCACCGAACGCUACUAUUGGAGACUUUGAGGCAUUUGAAGAAUGUCUCAAAGAAGAGAAAUCCUCCAAGAAUUUGGCAAAGAAGCUUUAAAUUAAAUAAUUUCACUAUUCGCUUAUAAAUCUGACAUGUCCCUCAAGAUCAUUGAAUUAUUCGCAAGCUCUGAAAAACACGACAUUUCCAUCAGCAGCUCCUGGGGCCAGACGAUGUUGCAAAACAAUGCUCCUGGCGUGCGACGGAAAAACAAAAAAUAUGUGUUAGAGGCCUUCGAACCACAUUAGCAAAUCGGAAAGUUUGCGCUGGAAGACGGUGACUUUGACCGCGUAAAACAAACAUUUUUUCAAUACGCGCAGGAAAGAGUGUCGCGCUUAGUCAAGCCUGAUGCCAAAAAUAAGAAAAUAUAUCUUUUAAGACUUUUUUAAUAUUGUUG